rnacentral:rRNA from 1 species
UGGCGGACGGGUGAGUAAUGUCUGGGAAACUGCCCGGUGGAGGGGGAUAACUACUGGAAACGGCAGCUAAUACCGCAUAACGUCGCAAGACCAAAGAGGGGGACCUUCGGGCCUCUUGCCACCGGAUGUGCCCAGAUGGGAUUAGCUUGUUGGUGAGGUAACGGCUCACCAAGGCGACGAUCCCUAGCUGGUCUGAGAGGAUGACCAGCCACACUGGAACUGAGACACGGUCCAGACUCCUACGGAAGGCAGCAG